CCUGGAGUGACGGCGGCCGGGCGAGAAAACUCAGCUUCUCCAAAUCUCCUCCCCUCGCCGCUCGAUCCGCACAGACCCCUCGGUCCCUUCUCUACCGCUCGCUGCCUCCGAGGCUCCCGGGUGGGGAGUCCGCCUUUCCGUGCUUCUCGGAAGGGGGGAAAAUGGAGCCCGCGUCGGCGGAGGAGACGGGAGGGAAGGCCCGGGUACUCGCUUAACGUUUUCACCCCGGCGGUUUCCUCUUGCCCGCCGCCGCACCCGCGCGUCCGGGGAGAGGCCGCGGCUGGGGCCUGGGCACCGCGAGGCCCGCCGGCUCCCUAGGCCGGGGACGAGCGAGCGUCCCC
rnacentral:lncRNA from 1 species